CAUUGGCUUGUCUUGGGUUAC
rnacentral:piRNA from 1 species